rnacentral:lncRNA from 1 species
GGUGGUUUAUCCCUAUAAAAUGAUAUGCAAGUAUCAAAUUAUAUCCAAUGGUAUAACAAAAAACUUUCUAUAUAGAAAAUAUUUUGGAGGCCAAAGUCAAGGAUUCAAUGGCUAAAAGAGAGUGGCACUAACACGAGAUUUUUUUCAUAAGAUCACCAUUACGACAAAAAGAAGAAAUAGAAUCUCCAUGGUUAUUUGUCC